GGGCACAUAGCUCAGUUGGUCAGAGCGCCUGCCUUACACGCAGGGGGUCGUCGGUUCGAGACCGGCUGUGCCCACCU
rnacentral:tRNA from 1 species